GCUGGACCUGUCCGCGUUGCCAGCAACCUGUUUUCUUCGGUGAGGCCCGGGCUGCGGAGGGGGGAGAAGAUGGGGCGAAUGGGAGCGCUGGAUUCCCUGAGGACGCGGAGGGCUGGCCACAGUGUAGUCCCAGACACCGUUUUCACCUGCAGCGGCUGGUAGUCUCCGCACCACCCGCUCCCACUCGAGUCUUCUCCCUUCCUCUGAGAGCUCUGUGGGGAGUAUGAAACCGGAGCGGGAUGGAGCUGGCCUCCUGGAGACACUCAUCUCCAUGGAGCAGGGCAUGCCAACCUAAUUCCCUAGAGGGCGGAAGGGGGAAAGGAGGGGUCCUAUGCUUGGACAGGCUCCUCGCAGCUCGGUUCCACUUUGUCCUCCACAGCUGAGAAGGUGAGCUCCCUCGGCAAGAACUGGCACCGCUUCUGCCUGAAAUGUGAGCGCUGCCACAGCAUCCUGUCCCCUGGCGGGCAUGCAGAGCACAACGGGAGGCCAUACUGCCACAAGCCGUGCUAUGGGGCUCUCUUUGGACCCAGGGGGGUGAACAUUGGUGGUGUAGGCUCCUACUUGUACAAUCCCCCCACUCCCAGCCCUGGCUGCACCACUCCUCUCAGCCCCAGCAGCUUCAGCCCUCCCAGGCCAAGGACUGGCCUCCCCCAAGGCAAGAAAAGUAAGGCUGGGCUCAGCUCCUCCCAGUCCUCCUCCCGACCCUUCCCCAAGCUGGAGUGGAGGUUGGGCCAGGUGGCAGUCUCCUAUCCAGCCCUCUGCUUCACAUUCUC
rnacentral:sRNA from 1 species